rnacentral:lncRNA from 1 species
UGGAAGUCUAGACGAAGCAAUGGACGAGUUUGUGAAAAUGCCCGAGAGAGAUGUGAUCUCCUGGAACACAAUGAUAGCAACAUACGCUCAACACGGCAGUGGAAGACAAGCACUAGAGUUUUUCAAGCAAAUGGACCUGGAAGGAUGGACUCCGGACAGAGCAACGUACCUAGGAGCGAUCGACGCGUGCGGCAGCGUUCCAUCUCUAGCUCUCGGAAAAACCAUCCACUCCAUCGUCGCCACUGCUGCUCCAUGCCUGGAACAAGAUCCGGGAGUCGCCACAGCGCUCGUCACCAUGUACGCUCGGUGUGGAAGCCUGCACGACGCAAAGUCAGUGUUCUGGAGAUCUCACUCGCGGAACCUCGUUACCUGGUCGAACUUGAUCGCUGCGUGUGCUCAGCACGGCCGAGAGAACGAGGCCCUGGAUCUCUUCCGCGAGAUGCAGCUCCAGGGAACCAAGCCCGACGCUCUAACUUUCAGCACGCUCGUCGCGGCUUGCAGCCGGCGAGGAGUCGUGAAAGAUGGCGUCUUCUAC